GCCCAGCACCUAUAAAACCCUGAGACCCAGCUUUCAUUUUGUUCCACAAAACAAAAGUGAAACCAAACAAACCAACCUACAGAAAAAUGGGACGCGUGCUACUUUCUGAAUCAGUCUUCUGUUACUGAAGGCCCAACAGAACACACUCGCUCUUCACUCAUCCAUUCGUCCGUGGGGAGCCCACAAAUGUGAGACCAGAAGAUGUGGUUGGACAUUCUUACCCUCAAGCCAUAUGGUUCAUUCUCCAGAGAGCUGUCCCCUAUUUGGUGGAGGCCUUCCCAAGUCACCCACUAACCAAACUCAGGAACUCUUGGCAUCAGGAGAUGGAGACUUUGGAGUCUAAGCUGUGGCAGGUGCUCUCCCAAAUGACCAGUGACCUUGAAAUGAUCCACAAGAGAUAGCCACUGACAACCAUGAUUAAACCAAUCAAAAGUA